rnacentral:rRNA from 1 species
CUAAGAGCGAAUGGUGGAUGCCUUGACUGGUAAAGGCGAUGAAGGACGUACUAGACUGCGAUAAGCUACGGGGAGCUGUCAAGAAGCUUUGAUCCGUAGAUUUCCGAAUGGGGCAACCCAAUGUAUAGAGAUAUACAUUACCUAUAUAGGAGCGAACGAGGGGAAUUGAAACAUCUUAGUACCCUCAGGAAAAGAAAUCAAUAGAGAUUGCGUCAGUAGCGGCGAGCGAAAGCGCAAGAGGGCAAACCCAGUGCUUGCACUGGGGGUUGUAGGACUGCAAUGUGCAAGAGGUGAGUUUAGCAGAACAUUCUGGAAAGUAUAGCCAUAGAGGGUGAUAGUCCCGUAUGCGAAAAACAAACCUUAGCUAGCAGUAUCCUGAGUAGGGCGGGACACGAGAAAUCCUGUCUGAAGCUGGGUCGACCACGAUCCAACCCUAAAUACUAAUACCAGAUCGAUAGUGCACAAGUACCGUGAGGGAAAGGUGAAAAGAACUGAGGUGAUCAGAGUGAAAUAGAACCUGAAACCAUUUGCUUACAAUCAUUCAGAGCACUAUGUAGCAAUACAGUGUGAUGGACUGCCUUUUGCAUAAUGAGCCUGCGAGUUGUGGUGUCUGGCAAGGUUAAGCAAACGCGAAGCCGUAGCGAAAGCGAGUCUGAAUAGGGCGCUUAGUCAGAUGCUGCAGACCCGAAACGAAGUGAUCUAUCCAUGAGCAAGUUGAAGCUAGUGUAAGAACUAGUGGAGGACUGAACCCAUAGGCGUUGAAAAGCCCCGGGAUGACUUGUGGAUAGGGGUGAAAGGCCAAUCAAACUUCGUGAUAGCUGGUUCUCUCCGAAAUAUAUUUAGGUAUAGCGUUGUGUCGUAAUAUAAGGGGGUAGAGCACUGAAUGGGCUAGGGCAUACACCAAUGUACCAAACCCUAUCAAACUCCGAAUACCUUAUAUGUAAUCACAGCAGUCAGGCGGCGAGUGAUAAAAUCCGUCGUCAAGAGGGAAACAACCCAGACUACCAGCUAAGGUCCCUAAAUCUUACUUAAGUGGAAAACGAUGUGAAGUUACUUAAACAACCAGGAGGUUGGCUUAGAAGCAGCCAUCCUUUAAAGAAAGCGUAAUAGCUCACUGGUCUAGUGAUUUUGCGCGGAAAAUAUAACGGGGCUAAAGUAAGUACCGAAGCUGUAGACUUGACUUUGUCAAGUGGUAGGAGAGCGUUCUAUUUGCGUCGAAGGUAUACCGGUAAGGAGUGCUGGAGCGAAUAGAAGUGAGCAUGCAGGCAUGAGUAGCGAUAAUUAAUGUGAGAAUCAUUAACGCCGUAAACCCAAGGUUUCCUACGCGAUGCUCGUCAUCGUAGGGUUAGUCGGGUCCUAAGUCGAGUCCGAAAGGGGUAGACGAUGGCAAAUUGGUUAAUAUUCCAAUACCAACAUUAGUGUGCGAUGGAAGGACGCUUAGGGCUAAGGGGGCUAGCGGAUGGAAGUGCUAGUCUAAGGUCGUAGGUGCUUAUACAGGCAAAUCCGUAUAAGAAUACACCGAGAACUGAAAGGCUUUUUGAAAUCUUCGGAUGGAUAGAAGAACCCCUGAUGCCGUCGAGCCAAGAAAAGUUUCUAAGUUUAGCUAAUGUUGCCCGUACCGUAAACCGACACAGGUGGGUGGGAUGAGUAUUCUAAGGCGCGUGGAAGAACUCUCUUUAAGGAACUCUGCAAAAUAGCACCGUAUCUUCGGUAUAAGGUGUGGUUCGCUUCGUAUUAGGAUUUACUCCGAAAGCGAAGAAACUUACAACAAAGAGUCCCUCCCGACUGUUUACCAAAAACACAGCACUCUGCUAACUCGUAAGAGGAUGUAUAGGGUGUGACGCCUGCCCGGUGCUCGAAGGUUAAUUGAUGGGGUUAGCAUUAGCGAAGCUCUUGAUCGAAGCCCGAGUAAACGGCGGCCGUAACUAUAACGGUCCUAAGGUAGCGAAAUUCCUUGUCGGUUAAAUACCGACCUGCAUGAAUGGCGUAACGAGAUGGGAGCUGUCUCAAAGAGGGAUCCAGUGAAAUUGUAGUGGAGGUGAAAAUUCCUCCUACCCGCGGCAAGACGGAAAGACCCCGUGGACCUUUACUACAGCUUGACACUGCUACUUGGAUAAGAAUGUGCAGGAUAGGUGGGAGGCUUUGAGUAUAUGACGCCAGUUGUAUAUGAGCCAUUGUUGAGAUACCACUCUUUCUUAUUUGGGUAGCUAACCAGCUUGAGUUAUCCUCAAGUGGGACAAUGUCUGGUGGGUAGUUUGACUGGGGCGGUCGCCUCCCAAAUAAUAACGGAGGCUUACAAAGGUUGGCUCAGAACGGUUGGAAAUCGUUCGUAGAGUAUAAAGGUAUAAGCCAGCUUAACUGCAAGACAUACAAGUCAAGCAGAGACGAAAGUCGGUCUUAGUGAUCCGGUGGUUCUGUGUGGAAGGGCCAUCGCUCAAAGGAUAAAAGGUACCCCGGGGAUAACAGGCUGAUCUCCCCCAAGAGCUCACAUCGACGGGGAGGUUUGGCACCUCGAUGUCGGCUCAUCGCAUCCUGGGGCUGGAGCAGGUCCCAAGGGUAUGGCUGUUCGCCAUUUAAAGCGGUACGCGAGCUGGGUUCAGAACGUCGUGAGACAGUUCGGUCCCUAUCUGCCGUGGGCGUAAGAAGAUUGAAGAGAUUUGACCCUAGUACGAGAGGACCGGGUUGAACAAACCACUGGUGUAGCUGUUGUUCUGCCAAGAGCAUCGCAGCGUAGCUAAGUUUGGAAAGGAUAAACGCUGAAAGCAUCUAAGCGUGAAGCCAACUCUAAGAUGAAUCUUCUCUAAGCUCUCUAGAAGACUACUAGUUUGAUAGGCUGGGUGUGUAAUGGAUGAAAGUCCUUUAGCUGACCAGUACUAAUAGAGCGUUUGGCUUAUCU